rnacentral:lncRNA from 1 species
CUCGGAUACUAGUAGUUCUUACCGGAUGUGCAUGCCAUUGGUUCAAUCCAUCCAUCGAAUCACUACAAAGAUAUAGAAGAACAGGAAACACGGAUCAGCAGAAAGCAAUGGCGGGAUGUCUGAACAAAUCUAUACCAUCUUUCAAGGUUAAUUUGUUUCUAAAGAAAAUCAACCAAAAGAACACCUUUCGAUUUUUCCUCCUGUGUUAAACCUGUUUUCCUCCUCCCAAAGCCCCAAAUGUUUCUUGACUGUUCUCUGACCGACCGGUGCCUGCUUAUAUACAGGUCUCGAUCGUGGUGUGAAUUUUGGCCCUUACUAUUCCGAAGAAGGCGUUCACGUGCUCCUUGCGUUUCUCAGAAAAGGCCAAGUAUUGAGGUGACCAACGAGCUGCUACCAAAUAUUUGCACGAUUGCAUGGUUGGAUCUGCACAUGCCGUUCCUAUUUUAUUUUCUCCAACGCCAAUCCAUUCCUCUUUGAUCUACUUUAUUUUGUUUUGACAUCACUGCCCUGAUCCUUGAAGAUCUCGUAUUAUCUUCUUUUUGCCAAGAAAAUUUCUGAUGUAUAAGCACUAAGUUUAAACAAUUAAAUUCAGCAUAACACAACAAAGCCUUCUGUUGUCUGACAGUGACACUACUGUUUUAUCCAGAAAAAAUGUCCCAUCUGUGGUUUGAAGAAGUCUUCAUCCAUCUCCCCCCAAAUUAAGUGUGAGAGGUACAGCGUAGUAAUAAGAAAUUCUUUCAUGAACAAGUAGCUUCGUUGAACUAACCAAAUUACAUGAACUACAGUAGGUACCUGCUAUGGC